UGAACAAAACCAUAUAUGAGGAAGGCUAAAUGUUUUACAUUUUUUAAAAAAUCUAAACCAUUGGAUUAGCAUGCAUAUGCUUCAAUAUUAAGGCUGUAUUUCAAAUGAUGCUCUAGGCAGCAGGUGACAGGGUACAGAUUUAUUUAGGCAGCUCCUAGACCCAUUCCUCCUGAUGUAAGGGAAGAUGAGAACUCCAACAAGUUGUCACAGAGAACUUAUGAAGGUCAGAGGAUCAUUUAUUAGCGUCUUUUCUUCUCCAUAUAGAUUCUAAAAUCUCAGGUCAUCAUGCUUGGUGGUAUCCUGAAGGAUUGCUGGCACAAGAAAUAAUGUGAGAGGUAUGCUUUUUCCUGCAGCCACCUCUCCAGGUUCUCUUGAUGUGA